rnacentral:rRNA from 1 species
AUUGAACGCUGGCGGCAGGCUUAACACAUGCAAGUCGAGCGGAGAUGAGGUGCUUGCACCUUAUCUUAGCGGCGGACGGGUGAGUAAUGCUUAGGAAUCUGCCUAUUAGUGGGGGACAACAUUCCGAAAGGGAUGCUAAUACCGCAUACGUCCUACGGGAGAAAGCAGGGGAUCUUCGGACCUUGCGCUAAUAGAUGAGCCUAAGUCGGAUUAGCUAGUUGGCGGGGUAAAGGCCUACCAAGGCGACGAUCUGUAGCGGGUCUGAGAGGAUGAUCCGCAACACUGGGACUGAGACACGGCCCAGACACCUACGGGAGGCAGCAGUGGGGAAUAUUGGACAAUGGGGGGAACCCUGAUCCAGCCAUGCCGCGUGUGUGAAGAAGGCCUUAUGGUUGUAAAGCACUUUAAGCGAGGAGGAGGCUACUGAGACUAAUACUCUUGGAUAGUGGACGUUACUCGCAGAAUAAGCACCGGCUAACUCUGUGCCAGCCGCCGCAGUAAUAC